CAGACACAGAGUUUUUUGUUGUUAUUAUUCCUACUUGGUUCUUAGCCUAAUACAACAUCUAGAUGUUUCAUCAGACAGUGAGUGACCACUGGACAGGAAGUCUUUGAUGAUAGACCGUGUUCUAUACUCCCCCAGGACAUUAAUGCUUCUAUCUACCAUCCUUCUUUCUCGCCCUCCUCCUCCCCAGAGCUCCUCAUUGUAACGUUAAACUAAAAGUCUAUUUCAGGAGGAAAUUGGUCCCUUUGUGUUGGCAGAGGGGGAAUUGUGCAACAAACAAAUACCAACCCCUUGCCAUUUGCCAUCUCUCUCUCUCUCUCUCUCUCUCUCACACACUGUCUCUCCCUCUCUCUCUUUCCCACUGAAAACAAACUUUUCUGUUUGUCCCGAGGUGAGAAAAUAGAGCGAGAGAGAAAGAGAGACAGGAAAGAGAGAGAUAGGUAAUGAAAUAAGUUUGUUUGAGAUUGAAUGAUUUGGUACUCUUAUGUUGCUUCCUGUUCUUGUUUCCAGAUUUUCUCUUAAUUGGUUGUGUCCCCAUUCAGACGAGCUGACAACAAAAGACGACCGGAGAAGGGGAGGAAAGACAGAAUGAAAGAGAGGGGGGAUGAGGACUUCAUGAGCACUUCCUCUGUGACAGAUUAUGCAACAGUCAUUUGGUUGAUGUUAUACCGGACAUUCUGGUGGGAAUCCACCACACCUCAUCCAGUCCCAGCCUAUCCAAACAGCUGUUUACAACAGCUGUAUCAUUGAGUGGCCCAAACAGACAGUCCUCUGUCCACCUGCCACCUACAAGCUCUACCUCUCUCACUCUCCCUCUCUAUCUCUCUAUCUCUCUCUCUGUCUCCCUCUCUAUCUCUUAGUCUCCCUCUCUACUUCUGUCUCUCUACCUCUCUGUCUAUCUCUGUCUCCCUCUCUAUCUCUUAGUCUCCCUCUCUACCUCUGUCUCCCUACCUCUCUACCUCUCUGUCUAUCUCUGUCUACCUCUCUAUCUCCAUUGCUCCCCUAUCCCCAUGAAUUUGUGUCAUUAUGGAAGUAGAGAGCUAAAAAUAACUAACCUAUUUUUUUAUUUAUUUUAAUUGUAUUUAUUUCACCUUUAUUUAACCAGGUAAACUAGUUGAGAAUUCUCAUUUACAACUGCGACCUGGCCAAUAUAAAGCAAAGCAGUUUGACACAUACAACACAGUUACACAUGGAAUAAAUAAACAUACAGUCAAUAAUACAGUAGAAAAAUAUAUAUACAUUUAAAAAUAAAAACUCCCCUCAGUAGUAUAGUCAAAUAGAUAGUUCAUUGUUGACGAGGGAGUUGUCUGGCGUUUCCAGUUUUCUAACCACAGCUUACUAAGAUGAGCAAUAAGCCACUCCCCUCUCAGCUUUCUGACCACAAUGCCCAGUGACAAGUACACUCACUCACAGACAAACUAAUACACUUGUUGUAUAUUAAUAACAUCUGUAUGUGUGUGCGUGCGUCUGUGUGAACAAUGGAUGAGAACACUACAACUCAAAACCACAGAAUGGUGUGUGAUUUAUAAAUUGUUGGUGUUAAUCAAAUAUAACUCAUCUAUAAAGGGAGUUUAAGCACUUCAACUCACACUCAUUUAUGUUCUAAAAUGACAUAUCUUUAGACAGCUGACGGAAGACUUCUGACAAUUAUGAUAUGAUAGUAGGCUAGGCUACCCUUCCGUAUGCAUGGUGACUCCAUUCCUCCUGUUAAAGAAUCCACUAAAUUUAGAUAGGAAGAGGGUGGGGGGGGGGGUGCCCUGAUGGUAGUUGGUAGCCUAUCCAUGACAGUGCACUGGACAGGCACUCAUUAAACACGGCCAAUGGAACCUCUUCACACUAACUAACAGAAGGCAGCAGUCUUAUAGGUGUCACGCCCUGGUCGUAAUAUAUUGUGUUUGUCUUCAUUUAUUUGGUCAGGCGAGGGUGUGACAUGGGUUUAUUGUGGUGUGUUUUGUCUUGGGGUUUUGUGGGGUGUUGGGUGUGUGGCUUAGUGGGGUUAUCUAGCAAAGUCUAUGGCUGUCUGGAGUGGUUCUCAAUCAGAGGCAGGUGUUUAUUGUUGUCUCUGAUUGGGAACCAUAUUUAGGCAGCCAUAUUCUUUGAGUAUUUCGUGGGUGAUUGUUCCUGUCUCUGUGUUUGUUGUCACCAGAUAGGCUGUAUAGGUUUUCACGUUCCGUUUGUUGUUUUUGUAUUGUUCGUGUUUUUUCGUCAUCAUUAAACAUGUAUCAAAAAUACCACGCUG